GAAAUGCGAUAACUAGUGUGAAUUGCAGAAUUCCGUGAAUCAUCGAGUCUUUGAACGCACAUUGCGCACCCUGGUAUUCCGGGGGGCAUGCCUGUCCGAGCGUCAUUGCUGCCCAUCAAGCACGGCUUGUGUGUUGGGUCGUCGUCCCCUCUCCGGGGGGGACGGGCCCCAAAGGCAGCGGCGGCACCGCGUCCGAUCCUCGAGCGUAUGGGGCUUUGUCACCCGCUCUGUAGGCCCGGCCGGCGCUUGCCGAACGCAAAUCAAUCUUUUUCCAGGUUGACCUCGGAUCAGGUAGGGAUACCCGCUGAACUUAAGC
rnacentral:misc_RNA from 1 species